GGAUGAGUGGUAUAGUGGUUGAGUGUUGGACUCUGACUCUAGAUAUUAGGGUUUGAUUCCCAGCUUGGCCA